rnacentral:rRNA from 1 species
UACAGAGGGGGCAAGCGUUGUUCGGAAUUACUGGGCGUAAAGGGCGCGUAGGCGGCCUUCUAAGUCGAAUGUGAAAUCCCUGGGCUCAACCCAGGAACUGCGUCCGAUACUGGCAGGCUUGAAUCCGGGAGAGGGAUGCGGAAUUCCAGGUGUAGCGGUGAAAUGCGUAGAUAUCUGGAGGAACACCGGUGGCGAAGGCGGCAUCCUGGACCGGUAUUGACGCUGAGGCGCGAAAGCCAGGGGAGCAAACAGG